rnacentral:rRNA from 1 species
AUUGAACGCUGGCGGCAUGCCUUACACAUGCAGGUCGAAUGGUAACAGGUCUUCGGAUGCUGACGAGUGGCGAACGGGUGAGUAAUGCAUCGGAACGUGCCCAGUAGUGGGGGAUAGCCCGGCGAAAGCCGGAUUAAUACCGCAUACGACCUGAGGGUGAAAGGGGGGGAUCGCAAGACCUCUCGCUAUUGGAGCGGCCGAUGUCAGAUUAGCUAGUUGGUGGGGUAAAGGCCUACCAAGGCAACGAUCUGUAGUUGGUCUGAGAGGACGACCAGCCAAACGGGGACUGAGACACGGCCCAGACUCCUACGGGAGGCAGCAGUGGGGAAUUUUGGACAAUGGGCGCAAGCCUGAUCCAGCAAUGCCGCGUGCAGGAAGAAGGCCUUCGGGUUGUAAACUGCUUUUGUCAGGGAAGAAAUCUUCUGGGUUAAUACCUCGGGAGGAUGACGGUACCUGAAGAAUAAGCACCGGCUAACUACGUGCCAGCCGCCGCAGUAACAC